GACGAACGCUGGCGGCGUGCUUAACACAUGCAAGUCGAGCGGUAAGGCCCUUUCGGGGGUACACGAGCGGCGAACGGGUGAGUAACACGCGGGUGACCUGCCCUCAGCUCUGGGAUAAGCCUGGGAAACCGGGUCUAAUACUGGAUAUGACUCCAUGACGCAUGUUGUGGGGUGGAAAGCCUUGUGCGGCUGAGGAUGGGCCCNGGCCUAUCAGCUUGUUGGUGGGGUGAGGCCUACCAAGGCGACGACGGGUAGCCGGCCUGAGAGGGCGACCGGCCACACUGGGACUGAGACACGGCCCAGACUCCUACGGGAGGCAGCAGUGGGGAAUCUUGC
rnacentral:rRNA from 1 species